CCUGCGAGGGUAAGCGAAUCCCAAAAAUAAACGUCCCAGUUCGGAUUGCAGUCUGCAACUCGAGUGCAUGAAGCUGGAAUCGCUAGUAAUCGCGGAUCAGAAUGCCGCGGUGAAUACGUUCCCGGGUCUUGUACACACCGCCCGUCACACCAUGGGAGUCGGGAAUGCCCGAAGCCGGUGGCCCGAUCGAAAGAAGGGAGCCGUCGAAGGCAGGGCCGGAUGACUGGGGUGAAGUCGUAACAAGGUACC
rnacentral:rRNA from 1 species